rnacentral:lncRNA from 1 species
AGAUCUCUCAACAUCUCGCGAGAUCUGUUUCUGCUGGGUGGUUAACUGAGACGGCAGAGUUCCUGGUGUGGACGCAGUGCUUUCUGCUUCACCUCCGUCUCAGUGCUGUUCCAGCUGCUCUGCGGGGACCUACCAGCCUUACCAAUAGAAACCUGUACUUUUUUCUCAAGGUCAUACAGCUCUGUAUCAGAUAGCAGCAGAGCUUCAGCAAUAACAUCAGAUGCCAUCGUAGAUUAAUGUUUCAGUUAUCCUUACACAGUUUGAUCAUUUUUGAAGCUGGCCUGUUAUGUAACUUAACACCAGUUCACAGUAUGUUUAUGAUUGGUUUUAACAUGAUACCUAUGGAUUUACCUACAUCUGUUUGCCUAGUUUCUCUAGUCUCUACUUUUGAGAAAUAUACUUAGUAAAGAAAUAAUGGGAGGAUAAAUUAUUAAAAACGGAAAAACCAUUUGUUAAAAGAAUGUAGUUAUUUUAGUCAUUACUAAUUACCAGUGUACUGAAAUAAAUGCAUCCACUGAAAAAAGGAACA